UACGUAGGUGGCAAGCGUUGUCCGGAUUUACUGGGCGUAAAGCGAACGCAGGCGGACCUUUAAGUAGGAAGUGAAAGGUUGGAGCUCAACUCUAACACUGCUCCCUAUACUGGAGGUCUUGAGUGCCGGAGAGGAAGACGGAACAAGUUGUGUAGCGGUGAAAUGCGUUGAUAUAACUUGGAACACCAAUGGCGAAAGCAGUCUUCUGGACGGAUACUGACGCUCAGGUUCGAAAGCCAAGGUAGCAAACAGGG
rnacentral:rRNA from 1 species